AUCAUCAAGAAUUACUCAAUCAAUCAAGUAUGGCUUCUGGAACUAAGCCUAUAUUCGUCAUCUUCAUCAUCUUCUCCAUCCUUUUGCUGCUCAUCACUAAUACACCAACCUCUGCAGCUCGUCCAGGUCCUGCAAAAGGCGCUUUGAACCCUAAUACACCCGUUUGUGGUGGGUCGAGAGGGAGACCUUAAGGUAAUUGUAAUUUGCCACCGAAGAGGAAAUGUAACAAAAUUUAUGGUUGUGCACCGCCGCAGGAAGCAAAUAAUGCUGCUACCCUACCAAAUAUCAAAACUAACAAUUGAAGCUGCUUGUGUGAAACAAUCAAGCAUGACAUGUGUGUAUUACUAGUAAUGCAGUAAACUUGGAUCAUUAUGCAUGCAUGCAGUAUCUGCCAGCUACUACGCUAUAUUAGUUAUCAUCCUUCCUGAGUUUGAAGGCUUGAAUAAAUAAAUAAGUGGCAAUCCAUGGUUCUAGUUU